CCCCAGACUCCUACGGGAGGCAGCAGUGGGGGAUAUUGCACAAUGGGGGAAACCCUGAUGCAGCGACGCCGCGUGAGCGAUGAAGUAUUUCGGUAUGUAAAGCUCUAUCAGCAGGGAAGAAGAUGACGGUACCUGACUAAGAAGCCCCGGCUAACUACGUGCCAGCAGCCGCGGUAAUACGUAGGGGGCAAGCGUUAUCCGGAUUUACUGGGUGUAAAGGGAGCGUAGACGGCGAUGCAAGCCAGAUGUGAAAGCCCGGGGCUCAACCCCGGGACUGCAUUUGGAACUGUGUGGCUGGAGUGUCGGAGAGGGAGGCGGAAUUCCUAGUGUAGCGGUGAAAUGCGUAGAUAUUAGGAGGAACACCAGUGGCGAAGGCGGCCUGCUGGACGAUGACUGACGUUGAGGCUCGAAAGCGUGGGGAGCAAACAGGAUUAGAUACCCGCGUAU
rnacentral:rRNA from 1 species